UGGAGCUCAAUUAAAGGAAUAAAGAGCCUAUAGGAUUGGGCAAUGCAGGGAUGUCAAAGUGCUUAGGCUGAUAUCCUUGGGAACUGUGGAGGAGAUCAUGUACUUACAACAGGUGUACAAGCAGCAACUUCACUGUGUGGUAUAGUUGGAAGCGAAAAUGCCAGGCGAUAUUUUGAAGCAGUUCAAGGAUCAAAACAGCACCGAGGAGAGCUCUUCGGGGUCUGUAACCUCUUCAGACUAUGGUCCGAAGGCUCUUGUCUUACCAGCGACAUCCUGGAGGGGUGAAAUUGUUCUCUGACCUUUUCAAUAAUAUUUUAAACACAUUUUUCUCCCUUAGUAAACUUGAAAUACAAUUUCUGGUGCCUUUUCAGAGAAAUGUUUCAUUUUUGUUACAAAAAAUGCCUUGUGUUGAGAAUUUCUACUUUUAGAGAAAUAAGAAAUGUAUUAUUGUAUUAUUGUACCUUUAAACUAAGAUUUUUCUCAUAUAUAGUUAUAAAUAAUGUACACACACUAGAUGUAUACAUAUACUAGAUAUGUACAUAUACUAGAUAGUGUGACCUCCAGGGCCAUUUUCAGACUGGCAAAGAGAAAUGUAUUAUUUUUUAAAAUAGCUGUUGAAGUCAAGAACUAAAAAGAAACUUUCCUAAAUAAACAAAAAUUUUAAAUGUGUUUUGGUUAAAAGUUACCAAAUACUCCCUGAGAUGCACUCUCAUGUUUCAUGGAGAUUUUUGUUUUCUGUUCCCAAUAAAAAUUCCACACCAAUA